AUGUGAGACAUAAGAUAUUUCCUACUCCCUCCCACCGUAUUUCACCCCAAUCACACACACACACACACACACCCGCAUGCACACACAGACACACACAUACACAUGUUUGUAUUGCUAUACUUGUGAGGACUUCCCAUUGACUUACAUUCAUUCCGUAACCUCUAACCCUAACCCUAACCCCAACCAAUACAUGCCUAACCCUAAGUCCUAACCCUAAAACAGCCUCUUGAACUUGUGGGGACCAGCAAAAGGUCCCCACCUUGCGUAAUUUUCCUCAUCCUUCUAUCCUUGUGGGGACAUUUGGUUCUCACAAAGAUAUUAAUACAUGCCGAUACACACUCACACACACACAUUUCACCCCAAUCUAACACACACAAAUACACACAUACAUACAAACACUCUUUCUCCUUAUUAUCCAUUAUCCCUACCUCACCUGUAAAGUGAUAUGCCGAACUGUUGGUGAUCAAGUAUAGGGCCCUUCAAUUGUCCAAGUUCGUCUUCACAGACACCACAGCCCUAGUGUCUCAUGAGCACUCUCCAUAAAAAUGCCGAAAUCAGCACCAGAGAGGACCAGAAACCAAGCAUGAUCCUAGAUUACAAUGCCACCGAAGGGGGGGUGGAACAACUUGGACAAAGUAACGGGGUCCUACAGCACCAAGCGAAUGACUGUGCGCUGGCCUUUAGGCAUCUUUUAUAACAUAAUUGAUGUAUCGGCCUACAAUACGUUCAUCAUCUGGAUGGAGAUUUUUCCUGAGUGGAACGUGUCAAAGCUGUACAAGAGGCGCAUCUUCCACGAGAAGCUGGGGAAGGCACUCGUGGUACCGCAUAUACAACGGAGGCAGCACAAGGACCCCAGCCACUGCAGCCACAGUGAGGGAGAUCCAGGAGAGGGCUGCACCUAGUACACCAAUGCCUGAGGUUGCUGCUGGGGGAAGAAGGAAGUGGAAAAGGUGCCAGGUCUGCAUGACAUCAAGAUGAACAUGACAUGUGCGACGUGCAAAAUUCAUUUGCACAAAGCAUACCGUGACGACUUGUCCCUCAUGUGCUGUGUAGAUACACAGAUACGCACGCACACACAUGCCUCGUUCAUAUUGCUCAUCUCUUGUUCUUUUUUGUUCAUUUCUGGCUCUAAACAUUCUAAACAUUGCACAAAUAAAGAUUACUUUCAAAUAAAA